rnacentral:tRNA from 1 species
GGGCCUUAGCUCAGCUGGGAGAGCGCACUGCUUUGCACGCGAGGAGAGUCAGCGGUUCGAUCCCGCUAGGCUCCA